rnacentral:rRNA from 1 species
GACGAACGCUGGCGGCGUGCUUAACACAUGCAAGUCGAGCGAAGAGCGAUGGAAGCUUGCUUCUAUCAAUCUUAGUGGCGAACGGGUGAGUAACGCGUAAUCAACCUGCCCUUCAGAGGGGGACAACAGUUGGAAACGACUGCUAAUACCGCAUACGAUCUAAUCUCGGCAUCGAGGAUGGAUGAAAGGUGGCCUCUACAUGUAAGCUAUCACUGAAGGAGGGGAUUGCGUCUGAUUAGCUAGUUGGAGGGGUAACGGCCCACCAAGGCGAUGAUCAGUAGCCGGUCUGAGAGGAUGAACGGCCACAUUGGGACUGAGACACGGCCCAGACUCCUACGGGAGGCAGCAGUGGGGAAUCUUCCGCAAUGGACGAAAGUCUGACGGAGCAACGCCGCGUGAGUGAUGACGGCCUUCGGGUUGUAAAGCUCUGUUAAUCGGGACGAAAGGCCUUCUUGCGAAUAGUGAGAAGGAUUGACGGUACCGGAAUAGAAAGCCACGGCUAACUACGU